AACGAACGCUGGCGGCAUGCCUAACACAUGCAAGUCGAACGAGACCUUCGGGUCUAGUUGCGCACGGGUGCGUAACGCGUGGGAACCUGCCCUUAGGUUCGGAAUAACUCCCCGAAAGGGGUGCUAAUACCGGAUAAUGUCUUCGGACCAAAGAUUUAUCGCCUUUGGAUGGGCGCGCGUUGGAUUAGCUAGUUGGUAGGGUAAAAGCCUACCAAGGCGCCGAUCCAUAGCUGGUCUGAGAGGAUGAUCAGCCACACUGGGGAUGAGACCCGGCCCAGAAUCGUACGCGAGGGAGCAGUAGGGAAUAUUGGACGAUGGGCGAAAGCCUGAUCCAGCAAUGCCGGGUGAGUGAUGAAGGCCUUAGGGUUGUAAAGCUCUUUUACCCGGGAUGAUAAUGACAGUACCGGGAGAAUAAGCACCGGCUAACUCCGUG
rnacentral:rRNA from 1 species